AGCGGGAGAGAGAAAGGGAAGAACGGGAAAGAAAAAGACGAAGAGAAGAGGAAGAAAGAGAAAAAGAAAGAGCUCGUGACAGAGAAAGGAGAAAGAGAAGUCGUUCACGGAGUAGACACUCAAGCCGAACUUCUGACCGGAGAUGCAGCAGGUCUCGGGACCACAAAAGAUCACGGAGUAGAGACAGAAGGAGAAGCAGAAGUAGAGAUCGACGAAGAAGCAGAAGCCAUGACAGAUCAGAAAGAAAACAUAGAUCUCGCAGUCGGGAUCGAAGACGGUCAAAAAGCCGAGAUCGAAAGUCCUAUAAACACAGGAGCAAAAGUCGGGACAGAGAACAAGAUAGAAAGUCCAAGGAGAAAGAAAAGAAGGGAGCCGAUGAUAAAAAGAGUAGUGUGAAGUCCAGUAGUCGAGAAAAACAAAGUGAAGACACAAACCCUGAGUCGAAGGAAAGUGACACUAAGAGUGAGGUCAAUGGGACCAGUGAAGACAUAAAAUCUGAAGGUGACACUCAGUCCAAUUAAAACUGAUCUGAUAAGACCUCAGAUCACACAGAGGACUACUGUUGAAGAGUUUUUGAAGAAUACUGAAAACGGAAUAAAGUGAAGAUCAACAUUAAAAUGAGGUGAAAGAAAGCUAUAGUGGAGUAGAAAAAGUAUAAAGCGCAGUUAGUUAUUUGGUUUUUUUAUUAUUAUUAUUAUUAAAAAUUAAUUCAGGACUGUUGUGACCUACCAGAUUUCAGAACAUGUGUUAAUAGCACAUAUGCCACUUUGAGAACUUAGGUCCUGUAUCAUAUUUUUUCUUUAAGACUUUUUAAGAAAUAUUACCUAAACAUGUGGCUUGCUCAGUGUUUACUUGCAAGUUUUCAGUCUUGGACUCUGAAGACAGGAUUAAACGUUAGUAUUCAUGUGAAGCAGACUGGGAUUCCAUUUUUACACCUCUGCUAUCCUUAGCCUUUGGAUUUAGAAGUGACAAUAAAGUAUCUCUGACUUUCUGUU
rnacentral:lncRNA from 1 species